UGGCUCAGUUGGUAGAGCAUGUGACUCUUAAUCUCAGGGUCAUGAGUUCAAGCCUCUU
rnacentral:tRNA from 1 species